CAAGUAACUCAAUUCUCGAUCCAACAUAGAGAGAGAAGCCCAAUUUUGCAAGGUCAUGACCCGUUUUAGACCCAUUCAUAUCAAAAUUCAAUUGAAUCAAUUGUUGACCCAAACCCAUUCAUUCAUUUCAAAAUUUCUACCCUUCAUGACUUUGUCUGUGACGAUUUCACACUUCGCCACCCACUUCCCUCUCCACCGGUGACAAAGCCCGCCGUUCCCUUCCCUCUCCGUCAA
rnacentral:lncRNA from 1 species